AUGUUGUCUUGUCGUGAUUGCAAGUGGGAUGUGGUCAAUUAGUCGAGCUAUGCUUUAUGCAUCCAGACCCUUAUAAUUGAGGAGCUGGCAUUCUUGCCUGUCUGGGCAGGCAAUUGCUCAGCAGGGAGCCUCAUGGCCAGACAGGCAAGAGGGAAGAGGGCAAUGUGGUUGCUCAAUGAGCCUUUAGAACAAAUUGAUCCGGACUGUUUGUGGUUCCAAAAGCCACCCAGUACUUGCUAUGUGGUUUUCCUUGUGGACAAUUGGGCAAUGGGAGGGGGUGGGGACAGGAAACCUUAACCUCUGCCUAGCCACUCACAGCAAGAUGAGAGGCAACUGCUCAGUGCGUGUCUUCAGCUCAUGCCCUCUUUCGCCUGUCUUGGCCCAUCUUCUUCAGGGAUGGGAACCAGCAUGAUGAGGGAGAAGUUACUCAAGGGGCCGUCUUCUUGGCUUCAGCCCUGUGGAAGGCCUAGUGGGCUUUGGACCUCACAGCCAAUCAGCUAGGAAGCCAAGACUGAAUAUGUAGGAGAAGAAUAAAGACCUGUUUUGUGUGUGAAGAGUUGGAGUAGGAAGAUCACAGGACUUCAUUCUGGCUUCAGUUCCUGCCUGGGAGUGGUGGCUUACACCUGUAAUCCCAGCACUUU
rnacentral:lncRNA from 1 species